rnacentral:rRNA from 1 species
UACGUAGGGGGCUAGCGUUGUCCGGAAUCAUUGGGCGUAAAGCGCGCGUAGGCGGCCCGGUAAGUCCGCUGUGAAAGUCAAAGGCUCAACCUUUGAAUGUCAGCGGAUACUGCCGGGCUAGAGUCCGGAAGAGGCGAGUGGAAUUCCCGGUGUAGCGGUGAAAUGCGCAGAUAUCGGGAGGAACACCUAUGGCGAAGGCAGCUCGCUGGGACGUUACUGACGCUGAGACGCGAAAGCGUGGGGAGCAAACAGG